rnacentral:rRNA from 1 species
GGGUUGUGAGGUUAAGCGAAUAAGCGUACACGGUGGAUGCCUAGGCAAUCAGAGGCGAUGAAGGACGUGCUAAUCUGCGAUAAGCGUCGGUAAGGUGAUAUGAACCGUUAUACCCGACGAUUUCCGAAUGGGGAAACCCAAUAUCCAAUGGAUAUUAUCAUGACGUGAAUACAUAGCGUCAUGAAGCGAACCGGGAGAACUGAAACAUCUCAGUACCCCGAGGAAAAGAAAUCAACCGAGAUUCCCCUAGUAGCGGCGAGCGAACGGGGAACAGCCCAGAGUCUUAAUCAAUAGCAGCAUCAGGAGAACGGUCUGGAAAGUCCGGCAGUAAAGGGUGAUAGCCCCGUAUCUGAAGAUGCUGUUAUUGUGAACUCGACGAGUAGGGCGGGACACGUGUUAUCCUGUCUGAAUAUGGGGGACCAUCCUCCAAGGCUAAAUACUCCUGAUUGACCGAUAGUGAACCAGUACCGUGAGGGAAAGGCGAAAAGAACCCCGGCGAGGGGAGUGAAAAAGAACCUGAAACCGUGUACGUACAAGCAGUAGGAGCCCCACCACUAAGCUAGUGGUGAACUCACAGCGAUUCUUUUGCAUGAUAAUGUGCGGUAGACGGAGCGAAAGUGACGUCCAACCAACAAAAUCAAGCAGAGGAGGCUUAGUGGUGGGGUGACUGCGUACCUUUUGUAUAAUGGGUCAGCGACUUAUAUUCUGUAGCAAGGUUAACCGUAUAGGGGAGCCGUAGGGAAACCGAGUCUUAACUGGGCGAAUGAGUUGCAGGGUAUAGACCCGAAACCCGGUGAUCUAUCCAUGGGCAGGUUGAAGGUUGGGUAACACUAACUGGAGGACCGAACCGACUAAUGUUGAAAAAUUAGCGGAUGACUUGUGGAUGGGGGUGAAAGGCCAAUCAAACCGGGAGAUAGCUGGUUCUCCCCGAAAGCUAUUUAGGUAGCGCCUCGUGAACUCAUCUUCGGGGGUAGAGCACUGUUUCGACUAGGGGGUCAUCCCGACUUACCAACUCGAUGCAAACUGCGAAUACCGAAGAAUGUUAUCACGGGAGACACACGGCGGGUGCUAACGUCCGUCGUGAAGAGGGAAACAACCCAGACCGCCAGCUAAGGUCCCAAAGUCAUGGUUAAGUGGGAAACGAAGUGGGAAGGCUCAGACAGCCAGGAUGUUGGCUUAGAAGCAGCCAUCAUUUAAAGAAAGCGUAAUAGCUCACUGGUCGAGUCGGCCCGCGCGGAAGAUGUAACGGGGCUAAACCAUGCACCGAAGCUGCGGCAGCGACACUAUGUGUUGUUGGGUAGGGGAGCGUUCUGUAAGCCUGCGAAGGUGUACUGUGAGGUAUGCUGGAGGUAUCAGAAGUGCGAAUGCUGACAUAAGUAACGAUAAUGCGGGUGAAAAACCCGCACGCCGGAAGACCAAGGGUUCCUGUCCAACGUUAAUCGGGGCAGGGUGAGUCGACCCCUAAGGCGAGGCUGAAAAGCGUAGUCGAUGGGAAACGGGUUAAUAUUCCCGUACUGGUGGUAACUGCGAUGGGGGAACGGAGAAGGCUAGGUUGUCCGGGCGACGGUCGUCCCGGUUCAAGCAUGUAGGCAGAGUGAUUAGGCAAAUCCGGUCACUUAAUGCUGAGGUGUGAUGACGAACCACUAAGGUGGUGAAGCAAUUGAUGCCCUGCUUCCAGGAAAAGCCUCUAAGCUUCAGGUUACCAACAAUCGUACCCCAAACCGACACAGGUGGUCAGGUAGAGAAUACUCAGGCGCUUGAGAGAACUCGGGUGAAGGAACUAGGCAAAAUGGUGCCGUAACUUCGGGAGAAGGCACGCUGGCGGUAAGUGAAGUCCCUUGCGGACGGAGCCGAAGCCAGUCGAAGAUACCAGCUGGCUGCAACUGUUUAUUAAAAACACAGCACUGUGCAAACACGAAAGUGGACGUAUACGGUGUGACGCCUGCCCGGUGCUGGAAGGUUAAUUGAUGGGGUUAUCCGUAAGGAGAAGCUCUUGAUCGAAGCCCCAGUAAACGGCGGCCGUAACUAUAACGGUCCUAAGGUAGCGAAAUUCCUUGUCGGGUAAGUUCCGACCUGCACGAAUGGCGUAAUGAUGGCCAGGCUGUCUCCACCCGAGACUCAGUGAAAUUGAACUCGCUGUGAAGAUGCAGUGUACCCGCGGCAAGACGGAAAGACCCCGUGAACCUUUACUAUAGCUUGACACUGAACAUUGAGCCUUGAUGUGUAGGAUAGGUGGGAGACUAUGAAAUGUGGACGCCAGUCUGCAUGGAGUCAACCUUGAAAUACCACCCUUUAACGUUUGAUGUUCUAACCUAGGUCCAUAAUCUGGAUCGGGGACCGUGUCUGGUGGGUAGUUUGACUGGGGCGGUCUCCUCCUAAAGAGUAACGGAGGAGCACGAAGGUUGGCUAAGCAUGGUCGGACAUCAUGCGGUUAGUGCAAAGGCAUAAGCCAGCUUGACUGUGAGAGUGACGGCUCGAGCAGGUACGAAAGUAGGUCUUAGUGAUCCGGUGGUUCUGAAUGGAAGGGCCAUCGCUCAACGGAUAAAAGGUACUCCGGGGAUAACAGGCUGAUACCGCCCAAGAGUUCAUAUCGACGGCGGUGUUUGGCACCUCGAUGUCGGCUCAUCACAUCCUGGGGCUGAAGUAGGUCCCAAGGGUAUGGCUGUUCGCCAUUUAAAGUGGUACGCGAGCUGGGUUUAGAACGUCGUGAGACAGUUCGGUCCCUAUCUGCCGUGGGCGUUGGAAGAUUGAGAGGGGUUGCUCCUAGUACGAGAGGACCGGAGUGAACGCACCACUGGUGUUCGGGUUGUCAUGCCAAUGGCAUUGCCCGGUAGCUAAGUGCGGAAGAGAUAACCGCUGAAAGCAUCUAAGCGGGAAACUUGCCUCGAGAUGAGUCUUCCCUGUCACCUUGAGUGACCUAAAGGAACGUUUAAGACUAAGACGUUGAUAGGCUGGGUGUGUAAGCGUAGCGAUACGUUGAGCUAACCAGUACUAAUGAACCGUGAGGCUUAACCUGACAACACCGAAGGUGUUU